AGCUAGUUGGUGAGGUAAUGGCCCACCAAGGCGACGAUCGGUAGCCGGACUGAGAGGUUGAACGGCCACAUUGGGACUGAGACACGGCCCAGACUCCUACGGGAGGCAGCAGUGGGGAAUAUUGCACAAUGGGGGAAACCCUGAUGCAGCGACGCCGCGUGGAGGAAGAAGGUCUUCGGAUUGUAAACUCCUGUUGUUGAGGAAGAUAAUGACGGUACUCAACAAGGAAGUGACGGCUAACUACGUGCCAGCAGCCGCGGUAAAACGUAGGUCACAAGCGUUGUCCGGAAUUACUGGGUGUAAAGGGAGCGCAGGCGGGCGAUCAAGUUGGAAGUGAAAUCCAUGGGCUCAACCCAUGAACUGCUUUCAAAACUGAUUGUCUUGAGUAGUGCAGAGGUAGGCGGAAUUCCCGGUGUAGCGGUGGAAUGCGUAGAUAUCGGGAGGAACACCAGUGGCGAAGGCGGCCUACUGGGCACCAACUGACGCUGAGGCUCGAAAGUGUGGGUAGCAAACAGGAUUAGAUACCCUGGUAGUCCACACCGUAAACGAUGAUUACUAGGUGUUGGAGGAUUGACCCCUUCAGUGCCGCAGUUAACACAAUAAGUAAUCCACCUGGGGAGUACGACCGCAAGGUUGAAACUCAAAGGAAUUGACGGGGGCCCGCACAAGCAGUGGAGUAUGUGGUUUAAUUCGACGCAACGCGAAGAACCUUACCAAGUCUUGACAUCCUGCGACGAUGCUAGAAAUAGUAUUUUCCUUCGGGACGCAGAGACAGGUGGUGCAUGGUUGUCGUCAGCUCGUGUCGUGAGAUGUUGGGUUAAGUCCCGCAACGAGCGCAACCCUUAUGGUCAGUUACUACGCAAGAGGACUCUGGCCAGACUGCCGUUGACAAAACGGAGGAAGGUGGGGAUGACGUCAAAUCAUCAUGCCCUUUAUGACUUGGGCUACACACGUACUACAAUGGCGUUAAACAAAGAGAAGCAAGACCGCGAGGUGGAGCAAAACUCAGAAACAACGUCCCAGUUCGGACUGCAGGCUGCAACUCGCCUGCACGAAGUCGGAAUUGCUAGUAAUCGUGGAUCAGCAUGCCACGGUGAAUACGUUCCCGGGCCUUGUACACACCGCCCGUCACACCAUGAGAGCCGGGGGGACCCGAAGUCGGUAGUCUAACCGCAAGGAGGACGCCGCCGAAGGUAAAACUGGUGAUUGGGGUGAAGUCGUAACAAGGUAGCCGUAGGAGAACCUGCGGCUG
rnacentral:rRNA from 1 species